rnacentral:lncRNA from 1 species
UUUGGGGGCGGUGUUUACAGACUGGACUGGUUCUUUUCUGUCGGCUGUCCUGCUCUUAGCUGGGUUUCUGAACCUCCGUGAAGUUUUCCAGCUAGGUUCGGAAAAAACGAAAACACAGCUCAGGAAGGCUCCACCAGCCGAUGCCUAUGCCAGUUCACCUCUGGCAGUGGCUGUACUGCUGGUCCACACAGCAGCCAAGACCAGCUCCACGUUCUUUCCUCCCCCUCAGUUCACUGGAGCCGGGAGCCCUGCACUCAGGGGAAGGGCCUCAGCUCUACAGACUGCCAAAGUCGGCUGGGUCCCUCCAGCUCCAAAAAUGGUGAGAAAGGAACUCAUCUUUUUCCACAGAGGAAUCAGAAGCAG